rnacentral:rRNA from 1 species
UACGGAGGGUGCGAGCGUUAAUCGGAAUUACUGGGCGUAAAGCGCGCGUAGGCGGUUCGUUAAGUCAGCUGUGAAAGCCCCGGGCUUAACCUGGGAAUGGCAGUUGAUACUGGCGGGCUAGAGUGUGGUAGAGGGGUGUGGAAUUUCCGGUGUAGCAGUGAAAUGCGUAGAGAUCGGAAGGAACACCAGUGGCGAAGGCGGCACCCUGGACCAACACUGACGCUGAGGUGCGAAAGCGUGGGGAGCAAACAGG